AGAUGUGAAGGCCAUCUGGCUGCGACUUCUGUCACCCCAUUGGUCACUAGGAUUGAUUCAGCUGACCUGGCUGGCUAGGUGGGUGUCCCCUUCCUCCCUCACAGCCCCAUGCAUCCCUCUGGAAGCUGUGUGCUUGGUCAAAGAGGAUGGUCUUCCCCUGAAUAGAAUAUAGUAAAAUGUGAUGUCUUG
rnacentral:snRNA from 1 species